rnacentral:rRNA from 1 species
GAUGAACGCUGGCGGCGUGCCUAAUACAUGCAAGUCGAGCGAACAGACGAGGAGCUUGCUCCUCUGACGUUAGCGGCGGACGGGUGAGUAACACGUGGAUAACCUACCUAUAAGACUGGGAUAACUUCGGGAAACCGGAGCUAAUACCGGAUAAUAUAUUGAACCGCAUGGUUCAAUAGUGAAAGACGGUUUUGCUGUCACUUAUAGAUGGAUCCGCGCCGCAUUAGCUAGUUGGUAAGGUAACGGCUUACCAAGGCGACGAUGCGUAGCCGACCUGAGAGGAGGAGAGGGCAGAGUGGGACUGAGACAAGGUCCAGACUCAAGCGGGAGGGAGCAGUGGGGAGUAGUGGAGGAUGGGAGAAAGCGUGAACCAGCCAGGCCGCGGGUGAGAAGAAGGGCGUCAGAUUGUAAAAAACUGUUAGUGGGGAAGAAGUGCAGUGAGAGAAUCCCUUACUGUUUGGACGUUACCAAAAGAAAAGGACACGGCUAACUUAGUG